AGGACUAGAAGAAAUGUCCAAAUAUUCAAAAAUGUUCAUCCACUGCUAAAAUCUCACUGUAAAACCUUUCUAGAGUCCAUUUCAAGAAAAUCUCCGUUCGAUCUCCAACUACGAACUUGAGGACAUAUGAUAAAAUCCAAAAAGGUAACCA